rnacentral:lncRNA from 1 species
GGCCAAUAAUUAAAAAUCUAAGUACAUUUUUUAAAUUCAGCAUAUCAAAGAACCCCAAGGAUUCAAUUUUUGUUAAAAUCAAACUAAGUUUAAUUUUGGACCCUUUGAACCUUAAUGUAGACCAAUUUGAAAACGGGACCAAAAAUUAAGAAUCUACAUACAUAGUUAGAUUCGGCAUAUCAAAGAACCCCAAUUAUUCAAUUUUUGAUGAAAUCACACAAAGUUCAAUUUUGGACCCUUUGGGCCCCUUAUUCCUAAACUGUUAGGACCAAAACUCCCAAAAUCAAACCAAACCUUCCUUUUAUGGUCAUAAUGCUUAUUUGGGCCCCUUUUUGGCCCCUAAUUCAUAAACAGUUGUGACCUCAACUCCAAAAAUCAAUCCCAACCUUCCUUUUGUGGUCAUAAACCUUGUGUUAAAAUUUCAUUGAUUUCUAUUUACUUAUACUAAAGUAAUUGUGCGAAAACCAAGAAUAAUGCUUAUUUGGGCCCCUUUUUUGGCCCUUAAUUCCUAAACUGUUGGAACCAAAACUCCCAAAAUCAAUCCCAACCUUCCUUUUGUGGUCAUAAACCUUGUGUCAAAAUUUCAUAGAUUUCUAUUCAUUUAAACUAAAGUUAUAG